rnacentral:rRNA from 1 species
CAGCAGCCGCGGUAAUACCGGCGGCCCGAGUGGCGGUCACUCUUAUUGGGCUUAAAGCGUCCGUAGCCGGGUUGGGAAGUCCUCCGGGAAAUCUGGCCGCUUAACGGUCAGAAUGCCGGAGGAUACUCCCAGCCUAGGGAGCGGGAGAGGCCGAGGGGAUUCCCGGGGUAGGGGGGAAAUCCUAUAAUCCCGGGAGGACCACCUGUGGCGAAGGCGCUCGGCUGGAACGCGUCCGACGGUGAGGGACGAAGGCCAGGGGAGCAAACCGGAUUAGAUACCCGGGUAGUCCUGGCUGUAAACGAUGCGGACUUUGUGUCGGACAAGCUAUGAGCUUGUCCGGUGCCGGAGGGAAACCGUUAAGUCCGCCGCCUGGGGAGUACGGCCGCAAGGCUGAAACUUAAAGGAAUUGGCGGG